AGUGGCGGACGGGUGAGUAACGCGUGAGCAACCUGCCUUUCAGAGGGGGAUAACGUUUGGAAAUGAACGCUAAUACCGCAUGAGACUACAGUACUACAUGGUACAGUGGCCAAAGGAGCAAUCCGCCGAAAGAUGGGCUCGCGUCCGAUUAGAUAGUUGGCGGGGUAACGGCCCACCAAGUCGACGAUCGGUAGCCGGACUGAGAGGUUGAACGGCCACAUUGGGACUGAGACACGGCCCAGACUCCUACGGGAGGCAGCAGUGAGGGAUAUUGGUCAAUGGGGGAAACCCUGAACCAGCAACGCCGCGUGAGGGAAGACGGUUUUCGGAUUGUAAACCUCUGUCCUCUGUGAAGAUAAUGACGGUAGCAGAGGAGGAAGCUCCGGCUAACUACGUGCCAGCAGCCGCGGUAAUACGUAGGGAGCAAGCGUUGUCCGGAUUUACUGGGUGUAAAGGGUGCGUAGGCGGCCUUGCAAGUCAGAAGUGAAAUCCAUGGGCUUAACCCGUGAACUGCUUUUGAAACUGUAGGGCUUGAGUGAAGUAGAGGCAGGCGGAAUUCCCGGUGUAGCGGUGAAAUGCGUAGAGAUCGGGAGGAACACCAGUGGCGAAGGCGGCCUACUGGGCUUUAACUGACGCUNAANCACGAAAGCGUGGGUAGCAAACAGGAUUAAAUACCCUGGUA
rnacentral:rRNA from 1 species